AUUGAACGCUGGCGCCAUGCCUUACACAUGCAAGUCGAACGGCAGCACGGGUGCUUGCACCUGGUGGCGAGUGGCGAACGGGUGAGUAAUACAUCGGAACGUACCUUAUCGUGGGGGAUAACGCAGCGAAAGCUGUGCUAAUACCGCAUACGCCCUGAGGGGGAAAGCGGGGGAUCGCAAGACCUCGCGCGAUUAGAGCGGCCGACGCCUGAUUAGCUUGUUGGUGGGGUAAAAGCCCACCAAGGCGACGAUCAGUAGCUGGUCUGAGAGGACGAUCAGCCACACUGGGACUGAGACACGGCCCAGACUCCUACGGGAGGCAGCAGUGGGGAAUUUUGGACAAUGGGGGCAACCCUGAUCCAGCAAUGCCGCGUGAGUGAAGAAGGCCUUCGGGUUGUAAAGCUCUUUUGUCAGGGAAGAAACACCGGCUCUAACACAGUCCGGGAAUGACGGUACCUGAAGAAUAAGCACCGGCUAACUACGUGCCAGCAGCCGCCGUAA
rnacentral:rRNA from 1 species